GGCCGUCAGGCGCCCCGCGGUGAGCACUGCCCUGGUGUCGAGUCCUGCAGGAGCGCUGACCUGAUGUUGGCUGGGCACUGUGCCUGCAUCCUCCUAUAGCCACACAUCACUCCCUGUGCAUGGAAUCAGUGCCUACCUGUGACAUUCCACGGGAGCCAGGAGCAGAACACAUGGGGUGGAUAGCUGCUACUGGUGUGGCUUUGCUGGGGGAGGAGAAGAAAAAAGUUGAAGGUUAUGAAUCAGCCUUCCUUGGAGACCUUGCCACCCCCCAGUUUUUGAGAGCUCAGCAGUGGGAGGCAGAACUGUUUCCAUCUUGCCUGAGACACCAGGGCUGGAGCUGGCAUCAUCCAUGUCCAAAUUUAUGCAUUUCUUUCAAUUGGAGCCAGAUUGCUGGAUUUUGCAGUGCUGGUUGCUCACACCCUGUGGUGAGCAGCCUGGCUUCCAGAAAAUCCACAGGAACUUCAACAAGCAUGAGCCACCACCUGUGCUGGUGAGCACCCCGAGCAAUCAGAGGUGGUGGCAGUGACUGCUGAGCUGCUUGCUUCUGGAGCAAAUGGUUCAGAUCAAUGAAGAUGGAACAACUAAAAUUUAUAGGAAGAAGACAGGUAAGGAAAUUAUCCCCAGGAAGUGAGAAACUUUAGUAGGAAGGUGUUUUGACUUCAUUUCCAGUCUUGCUCCUGUGAGACUCCAGCUGCAACACUGUCAGAAGCUGAGAUCUGCAACAAAACCCCUGUUCAUCUGUCAGGUAUGGCCCUGUAAACAUGAGAGUGGUUAGAUGUGUUAGAGGUGUGUUGUUUAUUUUUCAGAAGAAAGGAUGGGUAUAUGUGAGCAGAGCAAUGCUUGAAGUGUUUUCAUGUAUUCUCAACUUGGCAAGGUAGAAGAUGGAUGACAGAUGCUCAAUCUUAUCUCUGGGAAGGAAAUCCAAACUCAAAUUAUUUUGCAGUUGCCUACAUCCAUCCAAUUUGCAUUCCCAUUGGUGAGCAUUCUGUGGGUUGUGUGUCAUUGUAAAUACUUUGGAUUCUGUAUUAUGGUUGUUAUAAUUUAUAUUCACAUCAUUUCAGCACUAACAGCAGUGCCAGUGUUGUUGGGAGUGAAUGUGCCUAGUGAACCUGACCUAAUUCCUGUGAUACAAAGGGCAUUGCUAAAACCUCAUCAGGUACCUCAAAUAAUAAACUGGUGUAGUACAACCCCACCAGCAAAAUUACAUGCCAAAAGGGCAACCUUUAUUUUUGCUAUGGUUGUAGAAAACUCCCAAAAGCUGGAUCCUCGAGAAGCCUUUGAUUUGAGCCUUUAAGGCUGUAGCUGAAGCCCUUACUGUGGCAGAGGACUGUGGAAGAAGGAUUUAGGCAGGCCUGGAGAGGUGAGAAUAGAGAAGCCAGGUGUUUGUGUUCUGUAGGGUCUGUCAGCUUACAGACCUGUGUGUGGGGACAUCUGAGGGCACUUUGCAAGGGACAGGACUGCCUCAGGUCAGAUUUCCAUGAGCAGGGGAGAAGGAAAAGAGAGGCCUGAGAGCACCAGAGUUUUACCAGUGAAAAUACACUUGAGCUAUCAGUGUGCACAUAGCCUGUUUCUGUUCCUCCCUUGGUGUGUGUCCCAUGCAUGUCUGGAAGAGCCAGUCUGGAUUGUGGGCACGGGGGUGCAUGUCCAUGGGGAGUGGUUUUCCCCCACUGGCUCAGCUGCCGUUUUGCCACUCCAGUCACCCACAGCCCUGUGGGAGAAUUGCUCAGGGUGGGGACAGAGUGAGGUGACAUCAGCUGCUCAUCCUCAGGGAUCCUCCCUUACAUAUGUCACUUCUCACAGAGCAGCUCCAGGGCCACUCUGCUCCACCCCCCUGAUCCCUGUCUCUUCCUUAGCAUCUUCCAGGCUGUGCUACAGCUCCAGGAACUGCAGAAUGUGCAGUCAAGUGAACAGCCCAGCUCUCUUGGGGCCAGCUGAUCCAGAUAGGAUGUGCCUUAUGCAAUAGUGUAAGCUGGGUGUAUUUUAACAUGCCAGGUGAAGCCCUGAAUCAGACUUUGCAGUGAAUGUGUGUAUUGGUCUUCUGAGAGGCAGUUGUUUUGAGAAUGUCACCACUGAGACUGCCAAACUUACUUAUGUAUUUCAUAGCUCAUACUGCAAACUGCUCACACACCCCCCUGGGUUGUGUGUUAACAGACACAGCUCAUAAAUAGUGGUGCCUGGCAAAGCUGUUGGUUCUAGAUCUGUCCACAGAGGUUUGGGUAAGGAAUUUGCUGUGACAAAGGUGUCCCUGGUAUUUUCCUUCAGUGUGACUACAGGAAGCACAGAACAUGGAGUGCUUGGUGUUAAAUGAGACCAAAGGAGUGAUUGUGGCUGCACAUGGAACCAGAUUUGUUUAAGUAGGUGAAAGAGGUCUAACCUCCUCCAUAAAGAGACAGCAAUCAGAAAAACAGAAACAUGGUUGAGGAAAGUGGUGCAGAGUCAGAAUAUCCGGAAAAUGUUUUAUAAAAUAAAGAGGAGUUAAGGGGUGCUAAAACUGGUGGUGUGGGGAAGGUUUCAAAGAAAGUAUCUUAUAAUCUUGAAAUAAAGCUGUAAGACACUGGAAGACCACAGAAAUCCAGAACAGAAUAGGCGCUUUUAUAAGUAUUUGAAGUCUGUUUCUUCUUAUGUAUGUGUAUAGAUAUUGCUGAGGCUUUGUGAGCAUAAAAUUCCUUUUUCCUUUGUAGUUCUGUGGCACUUGUAAGUCUUGUGAAGAUGUCUUGCCUCUAGGCUGGGCAUCACGCAUGAUAAGGAGAAGUACUAACCAAAAGAGAUCAGAGGGAAACCCAGGUAGAUUCCCAGGGAAAUUGCUGGGUGAUCAACCAGCUCAGAUUCCAGGGACUGUCUUUUGCAAGUCUGCAUGUGAUUUACUCUGUCUCCAUUCUGUAAGCUCAGCCUGUGCUUUGGUAGUGCUGCAGGACUGAGUGCUUCCCUGCAGCAUCCUCAGGCUGUUUGGGGUGAGUGGGAUGGUUGAUCUCCCUGCCUCAGAGCACAGCACAUCUCAAGUAGAAAUGGCUGUUGGGCACUGGUGAAAGACAAGAGGCUAAAGAGAAGAGAGAAGGCACUGAAAACCUCUCCACGGUGGACAUACUGAGAAAGACUCUUCCUCCUUCAUCUUCACAAAGGUACAGAAGAAAACAAACUGAUGCUUCUCUACUUCUGCUGCUCUCUGGAUUUCAGAAACGACUGCUGUGACAUUUCCUUUCUCAGAAGUGGCCAAGACAGAAUGUCACUUUAUUCCUCCCCGUUUUUCUCUAGCUGAAACAUGCCGCUGCAGAAGACCUCAGCAGCAACU